GACGAACGCUGGCGGCGUGCCUAAUACAUGCAAGUCGAGCGGACGAAUCGAAAGCUUGCUUUUGAUUCGUUAGCGGCGGACGGGUGAGUAACACGUGGGCAACCUGCCCUGUAGACGGGGAUAACACCGAGAAAUCGGUGCUAAUACCGGAUAACACGAAAUGUCGCAUGACGUUUCGUUGAAAGACGGCGCAAGCUGUCGCUACAGGAUGGGCCCGCGGCGCAUUAGCUAGUUGGUGAGGUAACGGCUCACCAAGGCGACGAUGCGUAGCCGACCUGAGAGGGUGAUCGGCCACACUGGGACUGAGACACGGCCCAGACUCCUACGGGAGGCACCAGUAAGGAAUCUUCCGCAAUGGACGAAAGUCUGACGGAGCAACGCCGCGUGAGCGAAGAAGGCCUUCGGGUCGUAAAGCUCUGUUGUUAGGGAAGAACAAGUAACGCAGUAACUGGCGUUACCGUGACGGUACCUAACGAGAAAGCCACGGCUAACUACGUG
rnacentral:rRNA from 1 species